UAUUCAACCUUUCUUGAUACAGUAGAGAAAGCAUGUUAUCCUUUUUCUUUGAAUUUUGAGCUUCUUUUGCCUUGUGUCUUCUUUUGGAACUGCAAAGCACAAGACAAACUAUAAAUCUCUUCUACACAACAAGAAGAUACUGAAAAGUCUAUAUUAUCGUAGAAAAAGGCAAAAAGUAACUUACUAAACCUGGAUCCCAGCCAGCAAGGGACAACAAUAUCUUGACAGAGAACCUCAUGCAUCCCACACGGGUCAUCUACAUUGUCCGGGAUCCAUGUGCAUCAGAGAUUACAACAGUGGAAAACAAAAGAAUUACGCAACAGAAAGGUCUUGAUGAGAGUAAACAAGAGAAACGUGACUUACUGCUGAAGCACUUUCCUGCCUGUAGUUGAAGCAGAGGGACAAGAGGAGGCCCACCCUUCAAAUCUUCUCACACAGUAACACAAAAACGCAGCAAAUAAGCAACUGGAGUCUCAUGUACUGUUGUCUGGUGUUUCUGUUUAGUCAGUACUGUUCCUUAAAUCAGAGAUAAAGGACCAAGCCGUAUGCAAUUUCAUAAAAAAAAACAUGCAUUUGUUUUAAGAUCCAGCUGAUAACAUUGAUAAAGUCUUAGGUAAAUUAAAA